GGCCAGCAGCCGCGGUAAAACGUAGGACGCAAGCGUUAUCCGGAAUUACUGGGCGUAAAGCGCGUGUAGGCGGUGCUAUAAGUGACUGUUGAAAGCUCCCGGCUAAACUGGGAGAGGUGCGGUCAGACUGUAGGACUGGAGUAAGGAAGAGGGGUGUAGAAUUCCGGGUGUAGUGGUGAAAUGCGUAGAGAUCCGGAGGAAUACCAGAGGCGAAGGCGACACCCUGGUCCAUUACUGACGCUGAGACGCGAAAGCAUGGGGAGCGAACGGGAUUAGAGACCCCGGUAGUCCAUGCCGUAAACGAUGCAAACUAGAUGUGCGUUUCCUUACGGGGAAGUGUGCGUCGCAGCCAACGCGAUAAGUUUGCCGCCUGGGGAGUACGGUCGCAAGGCUAAAACUCAAAGGAAUUGACGGGGGCCCGCACA
rnacentral:rRNA from 1 species